UACGAAGGGGGCUAGCGUUGCUCGGAAUUACUGGGCGUAAAGGGCGCGUAGGCGGCUCUGCAAGUCAGGCGUGAAAUUCCUGGGCUUAACCUGGGGGCUGCGCUUGAGACUGUGGUGCUAGAGGACGGAAGAGGGUCGUGGAAUUCCCAGUGUAGAGGUGAAAUUCGUAGAUAUUGGGAAGAACACCGGUGGCGAAGGCGGCGACCUGGUCCGUUACUGACGCUGAGGCGCGACAGCGUGGGGAGCAAACAGG
rnacentral:rRNA from 1 species